rnacentral:rRNA from 1 species
GACGAACGCUGGCGGCGUGCCUAAUACAUGCAAGUAGAACGCUGAAGGAGGAGCUUGCUUCUCUGGAUGAGUUGCGAACGGGUGAGUAACGCGUAGGUAACCUGCCUGGUAGCGGGGGAUAACUAUUGGAAACGAUAGCUAAUACCGCAUAAUAGCAGUUGUUGCAUGACAACUGUUUGAAAGGUGCAAUUGCACCACUACCAGAUGGACCUGCGUUGUAUUAGCUAGUUGGGUGGGUAACGGCUCACCAAGGCGACGAUACAUAGCCGACCUGAGAGGGGGAUCGGCCACCCUGGGACUGAGACACGGCCCAGACUCCUACGGGAGGCAGCAGUAGGGAAUCUUUGGCCAUGGACGGAAGUCUGACCGAGCAAAGCCGCGUGAGUGAAGAAGGUUUUCGGAUCGUAAAGCUCUGUUGUAAGAGAAGAACGAGUGUGAGAGUGAAAAGUUCACACUGUGACGGUAUCUUACCAGAAAGGGACGGCUAACUACGUG